GCCUCCCCGCUCAGCCCUCUCUCCACAGCCGGGACGGGCCGUGCGGGUGUCGCGUCGUGUGGCGGCCCAUCGCGCCGCCCCUCGGAGCCCCACGGUGGGCAGUUCUGAUUUCCUCGGUGUUCGAAAGCCGCUGGACAAGAGGCUCCCUGCCCUGACCCCACAUGGACCUGCAGGACCACGGCCGUACCAGCUGCCUCCUGGCCCAGCCCAGUGGGCAUCACAUUGUGGGGAAGGAGAAAAGCCUUUUGCCUAUGGGAUAUCAGCGGCUGCAAGGAUACAACAGGGGACAGCAGGCACUAGUAAAGGUGCUUUCCAGCAUUUUAUGGCUUUGGUCCUGUGAAAAAACUCACGCAUCCUCUUCUUCCUUCCCCUGCACUUGUUGCUUUCUCCAGUCAGCUGAUUAUUUCCUUUCCCCCCCUCCCCUCCUUUCUCCCUUAGCUCUUUUUCUCUAGGAGAGCCUAUGCACUGCUCAGAAAGGUUGCCAUGCUAAGCAAAGUCAAAGGUAAAGCCAAGUUCUACAUUUAUCAGAAGACUGAAGAAGGUUUGAAGCCUUCCACAUUUAAGUCUCUGAUCAUACCUAAGCUGUGAUCAUGUGAAGUCAUUGUGAAAGCUCUGCCAAUAGGAACUGCUAGGUCAAUAAUUGCCACGUGGACUGAAGAGUCAAUUAAAAAAACCCCUAUUUAUUCCAUACAAACAAACCUUUGCACAUACCAGAAAGCACAAAACAUUGGGUGCACUAGAAGAAAUAAAGAAGCUGAAAAGUAAGAAUAAAAUUCCCAUUGAAAUAGAAGGACAAUGAGAGAAGCCAGCACAGAAGAAGCACAGCUUGGAGCAGCCAGCCCUUUCCACACCAUCUGCUUGGUGCAGAACGAGGCACCAUCAGUCCCAGCAACGCGGUGAUGGCACCACAAAUGUUCAGCGACGGCCAUUUAAGUCAUCACAGAGACUUCAGUUCCUGAAGGCCCUGACAAGAAGGGAUCUUUAUUAUCGUAUUAGAUCUUUAUUAGCUGUCUCUCCUCCCUCACCCCACUUCUUUUGCUUUUUAUUUCCUAAACAUACACUGAUCAAAACAGACCUUAGACUGAUUUUUUUAGGAGCAGCUCGCUCUUGCCUGAACUAGACUUAAACCUUCAGCAGGAGAAAGAGACCAAAAUAUCUUGCUGAUACAUGCGUAGUCUUUUAUAUUACAUUUUUAUUUUGCAAGAAAAUAAAUUAUACAACUUAAAAAAUAAAAUUCAAAAAUUAAGCAGUACAUCAAAAUAGUUCAGCUGGACUGCCAUACAGAACUACCACCAUUCCAAACUGUACAGCGUUAUCACCUCGGGAGUGGCACACAUUCAGAACUGUAAAUACCGUACGCGGAUAGAUAUUACAACUCAGGAACUCAAGUUUGCUCAACACUCCAGACUACAUAUAGUGUAUAUGACAGGAAAGCUUUCGUGUAUUGUUUAUUUCAGAAAUCUGACCUCCAAGGGUUACAAAGAUAGCAUCCCAGUCAUCCGGAUGAAAAUAGAAAAGAGUUUGAGUUUAAGAUAGCAAAUCGUUCUGUAAAACUAUCAAAUCUUUUUGCCAAUUGUAUUGUCAAAAUGCGCCCUUUGCAGGGCAAUGGCAUCCCAACGCAAAUCAAUGCAACGUGUGAACAUUCAAUGCGUUUAGAUUAAGUUCAUAAAGGUGGAAACAGGAAAGUCACAUUUCCUUUUGGAAACGCAACUGUGUUACGGUCAUAACAAACGAAUGAAAGAUGAACAAAAAUAGGAGCUAGGAUCGCCAACUGUGGAAAGAGGAAAAUGGAAGACUUCAGAAUUGAAACCAAGAUCCUCAUCAUGUUGUUGGGACAGAGAAAGUUUUAACAGAAUUCCUUAAUUAAACCCAUGAAGAGCGAUUCCCCCCCUCCCCCCAGCCUCAUCUACAACAGGCUUUCUCCAUAGCCGUUCACCGUGGCAGUGUGUGUGGCAACAUGCUCCUCAGAUGUAGCACCUCUUUUAAGCAAGGUCUUUGGACAUGUGAAUUCAUAGCUAAAAACUGCAGCCUUAAAAGUGCGUUGUUGCCAUAUUGCAAGUGAAGAAUAGUUCAUUUUCAUUCAGAGCUGAACUCUGCCGUCCCCAAGAGAACAUUCACCCCAGCUACCUCCCUGUGCCCAGCUGAUACGAGUCUAAGUGCAUACUGGUGAAAGUGACCUGAUGAAGGAUGCUAAACACGAUUCUGCAUCUGUAACAAAUUUGCUGGUGUGAUUCUCAGAUUUAAUAAAAAA